rnacentral:lncRNA from 1 species
AAGUAGUUCACCAAAAUGGGUAAAAAUAAAUAUUACGAAAAAGUUAGAAAUAGUUAAUAAUAAUUUGAAAAAAAAGGAAAAAAACAAAAAGAUGGAAUGAAAACUUGCAAUAUCCGUUGUAAUUUUUUUAAGUAAAUCAUUUUAUAACCGAAGCACUAGACUGUGGUGGGGGCAUUAUCAUUUGCGAAUUGGCAGUAGAUUACAAGUAAGACUAAACAAAGGGAUUAAAUUUUCACAUUUUCAACAUAUAGGGAGAUUUAUAGAAUUUGCUCGAGCCUCAAAAUCAUUAAGAGCAGCGACAUUAAGUAAGUGCUUGCGCAGAAAUUUUUGGAACACCAACUUUUUUUUUAAUGGUCAGCCUAAAACAGGAGACAAAAUUAAAAACAACUCGAAGACGUCUCAAGAUGAAGGAGCAUACAUAUAUGCUGUAGAAAAAGGUAAAAUAACUCCAUCCGAUAAAGAAUUACAGAAGCUGGAAAUGAUUUUAGGAGUACCAUUAAAAAGAAAAAAACAAAAAACACUGCUUCGUAGGUUGUAGUUAUUUUGGUUUAUUAACUUAUGAUGGUUUCUCAUUAUAUCCCCCUUUUUUUCCUCCUGUUCCCUCUGUUUGUAUGUGUGUUUUUUUUUUUUUUUUUUUCAAAAUGUUAUUGAUGAAAAUGCCAUCUCUUUGAACUUCUAUAGACAUAGAAGGAACAAGAAAAAAAAUAAAUAAAACAAUUUUAAAUUUUACCGCUUUAUU